UACGUAGGGUGCGAGCGUUAAUCGGAAUUACUGGGCGUAAAGCGUGCGCAGGCGGUUUCUGAAGUCCGUUGUGAAAGCCCCGGGCUUAACCUGGGAAUGGCAGUGGAAACUAGGAGACUUGAAUCUGGCAGAGGGGGUGGAAUGCCACGUGUAGCAGUGAAAUGCGUAGAGAUGUGGCGGAACACCGAUGGCGAAGGCAGCCCCCUGGGUCAAGAUUGACGCUCGAGGCACGAAAGCGUGGGGAGCAAACAGG
rnacentral:rRNA from 1 species